AUACUCGUCGGUCGUCCAGUACGUGUUCGGUACUUGUCCGAUUUUUGUCAGUGAGGCACUAUACAUCGAGCUGUACGGGUGUAUUCCUUGCUGCUUCUGAUAAUCUGCAGCUGUAUUGAACUUAAACUCACAAUGGAUAAGUUUGUCAUUAAGAAGAGAAAACAUGGAGAUAGUGGUGAGGGUGAAGAAGGAAACGAAAGUAGAAGUACGAGUGAAAAGGAUUUGUCCAUUUCAACAGCAAACAAAUCAACUUCCAAAAAAAGCAGGAAAAAUCGCUCCUAUUUCGAUAAUUAUCUAGAUUUGGGAUUCUUUUGGUGUGGCGAUGAGGUUAAUCCUACACCACUGUGUGUUAUUUGUGGUGAUAAAUUAGCUAAUGAGGCGAUGGUACCCAGCAAAUUAAAGAGGCAUUUAUCUUUGAAACAUGGUCAUCUUGCCAACAAGCCUCGAUCCUACUUUGAAGGACUUUUAAAUGAACAAAAACAACAGAGGGUGAUGCUUUCUAAAACAGUCAAAGUUUCUGAUAAAGCACAAGAGGCCAGCUACUUAGUUGCAGAGUUAGUCGCUAAAAGCAUGAAACCUCAUACAAUAGCAGAGACACUAAUUCUUCCGGCUUGUAGUGCCAUUGUAAAAACAAUGUUUGGAAGUGAAGCAGAAAAACAAGUGAAAAAAAUUCCCGUCUCGGAUAGUACCAUCAGCAGACGGAUUCGUGAUAUGUCAGCAGACAUAGAGGAAACUGUAUGUGCCUCUGUAAAGGAAAGUGAAAUGUUUGCACUUCAGGUAGAUGAGUCCACAGAUAUUGGAGGACAUCCCAAGCCACAGGCGGGACAGGUUAGGCGAGGGUGGAGUGCCCCUGUUGCCCGUAUGCUGCCGCCACGCCAUUACAGACAUCACAACGAAACAACGAGCAACUGUCUGUCCCCCAGCGCGGCUGUCACGUCCUAGGCCGGGUGCAGCUGGAGGACGAGGCGGCGCUGCAGUGCUUCGUUCAUCUUCUCCAUGAGGUACAACACUACGGGGGGAGCGGAACCCUCAGUCCUGUCCAGGUAGCCAAUGCGGGCCUGGGCUGCUGGGGAGGACGGCAGACCCCCGCCACGGUGCGCUGUGUGGCGAACGGGGUGGCCGUCUUCAGGAGGCAGGUGGCGCUGGCCGCCCUCCUGCAGGUGCUGACGUGCACCAAUACAGGAUGCAAUGCUGUGUGUGCCAUACUUCAGUCCUGCAGAAGGCAAGGUGGAGGGACCCGAGACAGGACACCAGGGCCUCGCCGCCCUGUUCUACAAUGCAGGCAUCUGGGUGAGGGUGGCGCCGACCACCCUGCCAGCCACGCCUCCACGCCAGGGAGGGCAGGGCUGUAACAGGUCAGGCCCUCAGGCUGAGUAUGAACAAGGCAACACAGCCCAUGACCCCGGCCCGAAAAGGUCACUUUGGGUCAGGAGUCUGACCUCAGGUCACCUGCUGCUCCUCUCUCAAAGGAAGAGUCCCCUUACGGCCACGCACCAGUCCUGAACUCCUAGCUAUAUUACUACUACUACUACUACUGCUAGUAGUAGUAGAUGUUGUUGUUGGUGUUGUUGUUGCUGUUCAGGUGGUGUGUUGCGUGCAGGCCUCUCAGGACGCCAGCGCUCAGUCACACAGUGAGGGUGUCACCUCUGUUCUAACACUGAGCGAGUCACUACACAACGGUAAUUUGGAUUCACUCCUUUGCUUCUCGUGGCCUUUGUUUGGAGACGCGCAAACAAAACCUACGAAAAGCAGAACUGAACCCAAAUCACCGCUUUGUAGGUUCUGAAGUGUUACAGCAAAGGGUACUCCACAGCCCGUGGGGCCUGUGUUACUGAGCUUACGCGGGCGUCAUGUCAGACCUAUACAGCACAUGACCUGCACAGCAACAGCAGCAGCAGCGUCAGCCAGCAGCAGCAGCAGCAGCAGCAACAAAAUUCCCUCCCCUCAAACGACAAGCUUCCCUACAUCUUCGUGUACGGCGGCAAGAAACACUCUGUCUGCUGGCUCUCUCCUCGCCUGCCUCGCGCGUCGCCGUUAGGAAACGUUGGGUAAGUCACGAAGGAAGAGCCACUGCACACAUCUAAUAUUUGCUUUUUUCUUUCUUUUCAGGUUAAGAAAUACUUAUAAUAGUUUCUCUCUCUCUCUCUCUCUCUCUCUCUCUCUCUCUCUCUCUCUCUCUCUUAUUCUCUCUCUCUCUUAUUCUCUCUCUCUCUCUCUCUCUCUCUCUCUCUCUCUCUCUCUCUCUCUCUCUCUCUCUCUCUCUCUCUCUCUCUCUUAUAAGUGCAACCAAUCAUUCAUUUUAGAGGUACAGAGUUCAUUGCAAGUUAAAAUACAAAACACAAAACACGGGCCCUCUGUUGUACCCUGCUUUUAUACUGUACUGUGCUCGACUGUAAAUAAAAAUAUCGACCAUAUUUUUGUUUUGCGAGAAUCUAGACAAUCAAAAAGGAAAAGGAAACAAACAAAAAUCAAACACACACACACACACACACACACACACACACACACAAACACACACACACACACACACACAAACACAGGUAAAUGAGGUAAGUCAUGGCUACGUGGCAACAUCCUUUUAGUCAAGCUGGCCAGAUUUGGGACAAAGCUUAAUCUUGUGACAUUUGAUCUGCAAAACAUGAUGCAUCGCUCCUCCAUUGCCAGGAUUCAAUGCCACUUAAGGCAAGGUUGAGAUGUUGCCUUUGUUGUUGUUGUUGUUGUUGUUGUUGUUAUUGUUGUUGUUGCUCCUGAUGAUGAUGAUGUUAUCCUUCUCUUUUUUUCUUUUUUAUUUCUUCAUCUUUUUUGUUCUUUUUCCUUUUGUACUUUCUUUUUCUUUCUUCUUUCGUUUUUUUCUUCUUUUUCUUCUUCUUUUCUUCUCAUUCUUCUUCUCUUUCUUAGUUCUUCUUGAUUGUUCCUAAUUUUCUUUUUCUUCUUUUCCUCCUUCUCCUCCAUUAUUCCUCCUCCUGCCCUUGUUUUUAUCUGCCCUCAUAUGCAUUUCUUUUUUUUUUCAUAUGGGCGUGGGUGCAUUUUUUUCGGUUGAUGUGCUCUCUCUCUCUCUCUCUCUCUCUCUCUCUCUCUCUCUCUCUCUCUCUCUCUCUCUCUCUCUCUCUCUCUCUCUCUCUCUCUCUCUCUCU